UGGGGAAUUUUGGACAAUGGAUGCAAGUCUGAUCCAGCCAUGCCGCGUGCGGAAAGAAGGCCUUCGGGUUGUAAACCGCUUUUGUACGGGAAGAAACACUCCUACGUGUAGGAGCUUGACGGUACCGUAAGAAGAAGCACCGGCUAACUCCGUGCCAGCAGCCGCGGUAAUACGGAGGGUGCAAGCGUUAAUCGGAAUUACUGGGCGUAAAGCGCACGCAGGCGGUUUGUUAAGUCAGAUGUGAAAUCCCCGCGCUUAACGUGGGAACUGCAUUUGAAACUGGCAAGCUAGAGUCUUGUAGAGGGGGAUGGAAUUCCGCGUGUAGCAGUGAAAUGCGUAGAUAUGCGGAGGAACACCGAUGGCGAAGGCAAUCCCCUGGACCUGUACUGACGCUCAUGCACGAAAGCGUGGGGAGCAAACA
rnacentral:rRNA from 1 species